rnacentral:lncRNA from 1 species
AUCAAACAGUAAAUGUAAAGUAUAGUCAAAAAAGUGUCCUCUCCAAUUCCAGUCACUGAUCUUUCAUUGCUCUCUGUAUGCAUAUGUUAUGCUUCAAAGAGUGACAGUAGGUACAAAUUUGACAUCUUAACUUUGAACACCUAUAUCUCCUUCAAAAAAACUUAAAAACAUACAAACUCUUCAUCCAAAUUAUAUCCAAAACCCUGAACUUACUGAUCUUAGCCUCCAAAGCUCGAAUGACUUCAAAAGAGAAACCCUAAUCCCUAAUAAGGCCUCGGGCAGCCUCCUUGAAGCCUAUUCGGCAUGGCCUUCAACCAAUAGGAAUGAAGUUUUCCAUUCUUUGCCUUCAUCCAACCAUGCCUUGCUUUCAUCCCUCCCAAUAAGUCUUCUAUUAGUUAAGAAUUUCUUCUUUAGGCUCUAA